rnacentral:rRNA from 1 species
GAUGAACGCUGGCGGCGUGCCUAAUACAUGCAAGUCGAGCGAACAGAUAAGGAGCUUGCUCCUUUGACGUUAGCGGCGGACGGGUGAGUAACACGUGGGUAACCUACCUAUAAGACUGGAAUAACUCCGGGAAACCGGGGCUAAUGCCGGAUAACAUUUAGAACCGCAUGGUUCUAAAGUGAAAGAUGGUUUUGCUAUCACUUAUAGAUGGACCCGCGCCGUAUUAGCUAGUUGGUAAGGUAACGGCUUACCAAGGCAACGAUACGUAGCCGACCUGAGAGGGUGAUCGGCCACACUGGAACUGAGACACGGUCCAGACUCCUACGGGAGGCAGCAGUAGGGAAUCUUCCGCAAUGGGCGAAAGCCUGACGGAGCAACGCCGCGUGAGUGAUGAAGGUCUUCGGAUCGUAAAACUCUGUUAUUAGGAAGAACAAAUGUGUAAGUAACUGUGCACGUCUUGACGGUACCUAAUCAGAAAGCCACGGCUAACUACGUG